GUGCUCAUGAGAACAAUGUUCCCUAGGUUCUUGUGUGUUACUAGCAGUUUGUGCUUUUCAUCAUUGAAGGUCAAUAAUAGCAUCAGCUCUUUUCUCUGCUGGUUCUUCAUUCUGGCCUUGAGGUGCGCUGAGAAAAGCCUUCCAGAGUGUCUUCAGUUUGUUUCCUGCCCUGCAGUCCGGCAGGUAGGGUUGUGGGCUGCAUCACCCAGGCCUGGGCAGCAGGGAAAUCGCAUAUUCCAAGCACCAUUCCGGCAGACUCUGAUGGAACAUCUCGGAGAAGCUGUCUCCUACCAGCUAUAGAAGAAAAUCAAGAAGUGAGAAUUAAAAGAAUGAAGGACAGAGAAAAUGAAGUGAAAAAUAGAGCCGUUAGAGGUGGUGAUCGUGAAGUCUGAUGCCGAACUGGUUCUUUGAGAAAAUUGCACCUGCUUGCACGUCCACUGACCAGCUGAAGGGCUGGCUAAGCUUCGUGACUGCUUUUCUUCCGCUCACCACUGGAAUAUCCACACUGGUCUCCCUCUAGGAGGGAUCCUGAUACCUGUGAUAUCCAAGUUCUGCCGCAGUGUGCACUGCAGUUUUCUCUGUGGAAGACAGUUCUACUUCAGGAUGAAAUAUCCUUCAACGACACCUGGGUGCCCUCGUCUAGCUGUUUUCCUGCUACGUCCGAGACAUUUUGGCUCCAUUCAGAGUCUCCUCCUUGACCACCAACCAGAUCUCCAAAGAAAUUUCAGUUCAGAAAAAAAGUUAAGACACCCUGCUGUAGAUGUGGGCUCUUCUUACCAGUUCCAAUACUUUCUUGAACCUCUGUGUAAGCAAUACGGAAAAGAAUGUAUCAGCCAGCAGCUGCAGAAGCUGCUCCCUCAGGUCAUAGGUUGCAAGCUUCUGGAGAGUGGGGAACAUGUAUUUUACCCCUACAUUUGUAUCCCUUGCAAGAUCUGAUUCACCGGGGAAAUAUGGACACAGACAUACACAGAGAGAGGACAAAGUAAACAGACACAGGAAGGAUGCCAUGUGAAGAUUAGAGUUAUUCUACCACAAGCCAAGGAACACCUGGGGCUCCCAGAAGCUGGAGGAGGCGAGGAACGCUUCCCACCACUUUCAGAUGGAGCGUGGCCCUGCCAACACCUUGACUUUGGACUUCUAGCCUCCAGAACUGUGAGACAAUACAUUUCUUUUGUUCUAAGCCACGCGGUUUGUGCUACUUUGUUCUGGAAACCCUAGGAAACUAACACACAGCUCAAAGCCGUGCUGAAGGGUGAGGAAGGAGACAUGAUUGAAGUCCACUGACGCUUUAACCUGGGCUAUACUUUAAGAGCCAAAAAUGACCAGAAAAUUCUGUAAUCUGCCCAAGAUCUUAUGGAAGGAUGUGCUCUGUAUUAGAAAAAGGAGGUUCUACAGAGCAUCGAUGGAAGCAGUGACUGGAAAAAAUACAAUUAUUUUAUGCACACACCCCACUGGGUUCUGACUGCUCAAUAAACCAGUUACACACAGAUUCAAAUGUUCUCUGCCCACCAGACGCUUGGGCACUUCGCCAGGAUUACUCUCAGGCUGCAUGCUGGUUGUCAUGACGACGUAGGAAGAAGUAUGCUAAGUUGUGGAGGGUUCCAGAAGGAGCCAAGCAGUGGUUUAUGGUGAAGGAGGAGAUUUCCACGUCAUGGGAAGUAUCUCAUCAUUUCAGCUGUAGCAAAGAAGCAGGGUGAGGUGCAGUGGUGGACUGGAAG
ensembl:lncRNA